rnacentral:rRNA from 1 species
CGGGGGGGGCAAGCGUUGUUCGGAAUUACUGGGCGUAAAGGGCCAGUAGGCGGCCAACUAAGUCGGAUGUGAAAUCCCCAGGCUCAACCUGGGAACUGCAUCCGAUACUGGAUGGCUUGAAUUCGGGAGAGGGAUGCAGAAUUCCAGGUGUAGCGGUGAAAUGCGUAGAUAUCUGGAGGAAUACCGGUGGCGAAGGCGGCAUCCUGGACCGACAUUGAUGCUGAACGGCGAAAGCUAGGGGAGCAAACGGGAUUAGAUACCCCGGUAGUCCUAGCCCUAAACGAUGAAUGCUUGGUGUAACGGGUAUCGAUCCCUGUUGUGCCGAAGCUAACGCAUUAAGCAUUCCGCCUGGGGAGUACGGUCGCAAGGCCG